rnacentral:rRNA from 1 species
CACGUAGGGGGCGAGCGUUGUCCGGAUUUAUUGGGCGUAAAGAGCUCGUAGGCGGUUCGGUAAGUCGGGUGUGAAACCUCCAGGCUCAACCUGGAGUCGCCACUCGAUACUGCUGUGACUAGAGUCCGGUAGGGGAGCGUGGAAUUCCGUGGUGUAGCGGUGAAAUGCGCAGAUAAUCAGGAGGAACACCGAUGGCGAAGGCAGGUCUCGUGGGCAUUAACUGACGCUGAGGAGCGAAAGCAUGGGGAGCGAACAGG